UACGUAGGGGGCAAGCGUUGUCCGGAUUUAUUGGGCGUAAAGAGCGUGUAGGCGGUCAGGUAGGUCCGUUGUGAAAACUCGAGGCUCAACCUCGAGACGCCGAUGGAAACCAUCUGACUAGAGUCCGGAAGAGGAGAGUGGAAUUCCUGGUGUAGCGGUGAAAUGCGCAGAUAUCAGGAAGAACACCCGUGGCUAAGGCGGCUCUCUGGGACGGUACUGACGCUGAGACGCGAAAGCGUGGGGAGCGAACAGG
rnacentral:rRNA from 1 species